AUUAUAAUCGGGUGAAUUGCUGGAAACCCCUUAGAGCUUUCUUCCCCACAACGGAGCUGGAAACGGCAAAUGUGAAGGGCGAAAAAGAAGAAAGAUUUGGGCAAUCAGCAGCCAAGCUCCUGUCUCGAAAGAGUGGAGAAGGUUCAACGACUAGGAUAGACCAUCUAAGGCGAAAGCUAUGAUGAUGAAAUCCAUAGGUGAAACAAUGGUCAUCAGCAUUGUGAAUCCGAAGUGCCCGACCCCUACUGGAUUGCUAGAGGGUGAAGAUAUAGUCUGGUCAUUUGUGAAAG
rnacentral:ncRNA from 1 species